rnacentral:tRNA from 1 species
UUAAUUAAAUCCAAAGUAGAGGAGAUAUAUUGUUAAUAUAUUUAUUAAAAUUUGAUAGAAAUUUUUAAUUAAG